AGUCGUAACAAGGUUUCCGUAGGUGAACCUGCGGAAGGAUCAUUACAGUAUUCUUUUGCCAGCGCUUAACUGCGCGGCGAAAAACCUUACACACAGUGUCUUUUUGAUACAGAACUCUUGCUUUGGUUUGGCCUAGAGAUAGGUUGGGCCAGAGGUUUAACAAAACACAAUUUAAUUAUUUUUACAGUUAGUCAAAUUUUGAAUUAAUCUUCAAAACUUUCAACAACGGAUCUCUUGGUUCUCGCAUCGAUGAAGAACGCAGCGAAAUGCGAUAAGUAAUAUGAAUUGCAGAUUUUCGUGAAUCAUCGAAUCUUUGAACGCACAUUGCGCCCUCUGGUAUUCCAGAGGGCAUGCCUGUUUGAGCGUCAUUUCUCUCUCAAACCCCCGGGUUUGGUAUUGAGUGAUACUCUUAGUCGGACUAGGCGUUUGCUUGAAAAGUAUUGGCAUGGGUAGUACUGGAUAGUGCUGUCGACCUCUCAAUGUAUUAGGUUUAUCCAACUCGUUGAAUGGUGUGGCGGGAUAUUUCUGGUAUUGUUGGCCCGGCCUUACAACAACCAAACAAGUUUGACCUCAAAUCAGGUAGGAAUACCCGCUGAACUUAAGCAUAUCAUAAAAGUCG
rnacentral:rRNA from 1 species